rnacentral:rRNA from 1 species
UAGGGAAUCUUCGGCAAUGGACGAAAGUCUGACCGAGCAACGCCGCGUGAGUGAAGAAGGUUUUCGGAUCGUAAAACUCUGUUGUUAGAGAAGAACAAGGACGUUAGUAACUGAACGUCCCCUGACGGUAUCUAACCAGAAAGCCACGGCUAACUACGUGCCAGCAGCCGCGGUAAUACGUAGGUGGCAAGCGUUGUCCGGAUUUAUUGGGCGUAAAGCGAGCGCAGGCGGUUUCUUAAGUCUGAUGUGAAAGCCCCCGGCUCAACCGGAGAGGGUCAUUGGAAGCUGGGAGACUUGAGUGCAGAAGAGGAGAGUGGAAUUCCAUGUGUAGCGAUGAAAUGAGUAGAUAUAUGGAGGAACACCAGUGGCGAAGGCGGCUCUCUGGUCUGUAACUGACGCUGAGGCUCGAAAGCGUGGGGAGCAAACAGG